CCUACGGGAGGCAGCAGUGGGGAAUAUUGCACAAUGGGCGCAAGCCUGAUGCAGCCAUGCCGCGUGUGUGAAGAAGCCCUUCGGGUUGUAAAGCACUUUCAGCGGGGAGGAAGGCGGUGAGGUUAAUAACCUCAUCGAUUGACGUUACCCGCAGAAGAAGCACCGGCUAACUCCGUGCCAGCAGCCGCGGUAAUACGGAGGGUGCAAGCGUUAAUCGGAAUUACUGGGCGUAAAGCGCACGCAGGCGGUCUGUCAAGUCGGAUGUGAAAUCCCCGGGCUCAACCUGGGAACUGCAUUCGAAACUGGCAGGCUAGAGUCUUGUAGAGGGGGGUAGAAUUCCAGGUGUAGCGGUGAAAUGCGUAGAGAUCUGGAGGAAUACCGGUGGCGAAGGCGGCCCCCUGGACAAAGACUGACGCUCAGGUGCGAAAGCGUGGGGAGCAAACAGGAUUAGAUACCCCUGGAGUC
rnacentral:rRNA from 1 species